rnacentral:misc_RNA from 1 species
CAGGCACAGCACCUGAGACACCUCGAGUGCCAAGUUCGUCCUCCCACGCAAAGGACGGUCCGCUCUCGAACCCUGUCGCCGCAUCCCCCGCACUCCAUCGUCGCAGUUACCGUUGGAAGUUCUGUACCAACCCCCGUUGCUGGUGCCACCGUUUGUCCCGCAGCCACAGCGCAUACUUCAGCGGCGACGUCCUCCACCUCCGUCUGAAAUAGAAGGUCGGUUCCGUUCGUACGAUAACAACUCCGACAUCGAGUCCGUCCCACACGUUGCGCUCGCUCGCGGUGCACACCCUGCACGUGUUGUACCAUCGGGGCUGGACAGAAAAAAAAGGUAGAAACACCGUUCGGCAAGCCAGGGAAAUUCCGACAGGAUUCUCUGCUCUCUGAAAACAUAUUCAUCCCGAUCCCGGAUCGUCGAUCGAAGAAUUAUACUUCACAAACGCCGGAGUUGCCUGGUUCUUUGCGAUACGGAUCCAUUUUCAAAUACCAUACCUACGCUGUGCUGAAAAAUUCGUCUGAAGGUAAGAAAUGAUUGCUAUUGAGUAUUCGUUAACUUGUAAUGAGAUCGGCAGCGGUCUGUUUAAUUUACAUUCCUAGAGACAAAAUGCAUUCAGUGAGCGUACUAGGAUUGGAAUUCUAAAAAUUCGCGCAAUCGUCGCGUCUAUGAUUG